rnacentral:lncRNA from 1 species
GUUUUGUUGGUUUGGUUUGUUUUUUCCAUACCUACUUACCAUUGUAGAAGGGAGGAAGGGUAGGAGAAAAAAAAAGCGAAGUGAUGUUUCUAGCCAUCUGUGGGCUGAGAAAUAUUAGGUAAUUAGUUAUCUUAUUGUAAAUCUGCUGCAGGGUCAAUAUUGAGUUUUAUCUUGGAAAGUGAGGAGUUUGUGCCACUUCUCAUGCUUAAUUUAUCAGUGAAGUUUUGCAAAUGUGAAUAGUCAAUGACUUCAUUGCAUUCCCAUUGACAACAACAAGUGUUUGUAGCAUUUUAAACUUUGUUAUAUUCAGUCUGUAUUCAGUCAUUCAUGUGGGAUU